rnacentral:rRNA from 1 species
UGCGUAGGGUGCGAGCGUUAAUCGGAAUUACUGGGCGUAAAGCGUGCGCAGGCGGUUCGUUAAGUUCGAUGUGAAAGCCCCGGGCUCAACCUGGGAACUGCAUUGGAAACUGGCGAGCUUGAGUAUGGCAGAGGGGGGUGGAAUUCCGCGUGUAGCAGUGAAAUGCGUAGAGAUGCGGAGGAACACCGAUGGCGAAGGCAGCCCCCUGGGCCAAUACUGACGCUCAGGCACGAAAGCGUGGGGAGCAAACAGG